GCCAAGUUUGACAGAGCCUGAGGCAGCAAUGGAGAGGCUGUCCCUGAGGUAGUGUCCCAGCAUUGCGUUCUGCUCACGGCGGAUUUGUGUAGUUGAGAAAGCCGUUGAAAAGACCUCAUAGUGUUUUCUCCAUGGGUGUCCACGUGGCCUGGCAGCUCCUGGGGAGAGGAAGCAGCGGCAGCUGGGGGGAUGGCUGCCUGCACCGGGAGAGGAACAGGAACCUGGAACUGUUCUCACUGGCAGGCCAGAAGACUGAGCUUGAGAGAAUGCAAGCUGUCCGGGGCAGCUGGACCAGGUAGCCAUCUUGAUUCUGUGUGUGAUGCGCCACUGACUGGCUCCUGCCCAGGCUGACAGAACCGGUCCCCCAUACAGGUUUCAGAGGCUGACAUCAUCUUUUCAAAGAGCACUCUCUGGUGUGGAAGCCCACAGAGACCUGCCUUGCUGCUUGUGAUGAAGGAAGAGGAGCUUGAGGCCAGAGCACAGAGGACACCUGCUCCCAGCUGUGCACAUGGUCACCAAGCUGUCACCAAGCUUCUCAUGCCCCCCACUCCCACCUGUGCCCCAGCAGGCAUGGCGUGCACUGACACUUGGUUGGGGGAAAGGUAGGAUGCGACCUCAGAAUUCAGGUCAGCAUAUUCUAAGGGGGUGCUGCUCUGAACAGGGGAUACUUCUGAAAAAGUGGGGAGAAAAGAGAGACACCAGAGCUGGGACAUACUUAGUCUCCUCCAUGUCCAGAGAGAGGAGUCUGCCUGGGGCUCCGUCACAUGAGGGAAACUGUCCCUUUAAGGCCAGGGUCCUGCUCUGUUCUGAGACUCUUGUUCAGGAGGGUUCAGGGAAGUCUAUAGCUAGGACUGGCUUCAAACCAGGAAUAUCACCCUCUCUAAAGCUUGAGAGAAAAGCCAGAGAUGACUUUAGAUGUCUUCAGAUAAACCCAGGAAGAGCAAGGGACCCUCUAUUUUGAUGGGAAAAUCUAGCGGCUUUCAGGCUUUUUACCAUAUGAGCACCUUUAGGCGUCCCUCUGCAGAACCUCCUGGGUGCCCCCUCCCUCUGUCACCCGCCAAGUUCAUGCCUUCACCCUGACACAGCAGACCAGCCUACCUUUGAUUGGCUGGUUGUCUGCUGUCCCCAGGAUUUCCUGCUUCUGGAGCACUGGGAGCUCAUUGAAGUCGCCCACUGCCAUCUCUCCCAGUCUUGCAUCUCCAUGGCUCUGAUGAUGCAAAGCACCAGCAAGAAGCAGCAGCCAGCUCGAGCCACCACUGUCCAUGGCUCUGUGACUCCUGCUAUGAAGUGCCCUGAGAACAGCCGUCCUUACAGCCCCGGCACCGUUCUCUUUAAUAACAGACCUCAGAAACACACAAGAUUUCCCUGAGAGGAGGGUCCCCACAAGGAAGUGCUGGAUGGUAAAGGUCAAAAUCUUGAUCAGGGGCCAAGAAAGUUGGGGCUUCUCUAGAGGGGCUGCGUAAGAGAUGUGUUUUACUUCCUGGUUUUUAAAUAAUAAGAGUAUUUCUUCGUCUCUUAAACAUUCCCCUAAGAGUCACCUGUACUUUUUUAUAGGGUAAAUCACCAACCGUGAGGCAUCAGGGGGACAGUGAUGACACCAGGCCUAGAAUGAAGGGCAUUCUUGGUGUUACCAAGUAGGCAUGCCCAGACUGCCACAGCUGCCCAGUCAUACUGACGUUUGUCCAGCAUCUGUGGGUAGAGACAGAAUACAGAUAUGAGGGAUCCUGAAUGGAGACACACAUCAAAGAACAUUCCACAGUGCCAGGAAGGAGGGAGUGUCCUAACAGACUCUGUCCAGGGCUUCCCUGCUGGGCUGGAGUGCAGGCAGGGGGCAACAUGGCCGGGUGGGGCUUGGCUUGGCUCUGCAGAUCCCAUGUGCACACAGUAGCUGCUCCUUGCCAGGAUCACUACUGUGGGUUUCAGAAACAGAGUCUGUGCACCUAUAAUGUUUAAAGGAGCAUCAGACAAUCCUGUUAAGUCUCUGUUUAACAGCACAGGAGGAAGCAGGAGGCAGUAGUGACAGAUGAGUGUUCCUUCCCGAGUAGCUCAUCACAAACCCCCAUCUCUCCAUCUUCCUCUGUGUUCAAACUGUGUGCAUGGCGGUUUCCUCCUUCAUACCUCUAAGGAGAGCAGGACGCAGCCUUCAGACACAUGCCUCCAGGGCAGCCCUGCGAAGGCUCCAGGAGGCCGUGCGCCUUGAUAUGAGACUUCAGUGACUUAUCUCCCCAAACCCUGAAGAUAUUUCUCUGCUCCUUCCAAAUUUAUUGUUUAAAUAAAUCGAUGUGUUUAAUGCAAUGCUUUAAAUGUGACUUUAAAUAAAUUGAUGUGUUUAAUGC
rnacentral:lncRNA from 1 species